rnacentral:rRNA from 1 species
GACGUGGGGCGCGAGCGUUGUCCGGAUUUAUUGGGCGUAAAGAGCUCGUAGGCGGUUGGGCAAGUCACGUGUGAAAUCUCCACGCUCAACGUGGAGGCGCCACGUGAGACUGCCCUGACUCGAGUCCGGUAGGGGAGCGUGGAAUUCCCGGUGUAGCGGUGAAAUGCGCAGAGAUCGGGAGGAACACCCGUAGCGAAGGCGGCGCUCUGGGCCGGUACUGACGCUGAGGAGCGAAAGCGUGGGGAGCAAACAGG